rnacentral:rRNA from 1 species
GACGAACGCUGGCGGCGUGCUUAACACAUGCAAGUCGAACGGAAAGGCCCUGCUUUUGUGGGGUGCUCGAGUGGCGAAAGGGUGAGUAACACGUGAGUAACCUGCCCUUGACUUUGGGAUAACUUCAGGAAACUGGGGCUAAUACCGGAUAGGAGCUCCUGCUGCAUGGUGGGGGUUGGAAAGUUUCGGCGGAUGGGGAUGGACUCGCGGCUUAUCAGCUUGUUGGUGGGGUAGUGGCUUACCAAGGCUUUGACGGGUAGCCGGCCUGAGAGGGUGACCGGCCACAUUGGGACUGAGAUACGGCCCAGACUCCUACGGGAGGCAGCAGUGGGGAAUAUUGCACAAUGGGCGGAAGCCUGAUGCAGCAACGCCGCGUGCGGGAUGACGGCCUUCGGGUUGUAAACCGCUUUCGCCUGUGACGAAGCGUGAGUGACGGUAAUGGGUAAAGAAGCACCGGCUAACUACGUG